ACCAACGCUGGCGGCGUGCGUUAAACAUGCAAGUCGAACGGUCGUAGUGGGGUGAAAGCUCUAGUGCGGUAGUGGCGGACGGCUGAGUAGCACGUGGCUAACCUGCCCGUUUGUGGGGGAUAGCGUCUGGAAACGGACGGUAAUCCCGCAUAAGGUCUUUUAUGGAGGGGUAGAAGAAGAAAGGCUGUGUGGUAAGGCGCACGGUUGCGAACGGAGGGGGCCGCGGCCCAUCAGGUAGUUGGAGUGGUAAGGGCACACCAAGGCGAAGACGGGUGGCCGGUCUGAGAGGAUGGACGGCCAGACGGGGACUGGGAACGGCCCCGACGCCUACGGGCGGCAGCAGUUAGGGAUCUUGCGCAAUGGACGAAAGUCUGACGCAGCGACGCCGCGUGAGGGAAGACGGCUCUCGGGUUGUAAACCUCUUUUCGUGAGGGCGAGGUAGGACGGUACUCACGGGAUAAGCACCGGCUAACUCCGU
rnacentral:rRNA from 1 species